GUUAAUCCAGGAUAUUUAUUUACAAUCCGGUGCUAGCCCUAGCCGUUGUGAAGGAACAGAGUCCCAUAUCGAUGAUUCAGUCCGGCGGUCUUGGAGGUGGUUUUCAGCGUGAGGGUGAGGGGUUCCAUUCAGAGAGUAAAUUCUCCGAUGCUGAACAGUUUUUUUAGGAAACCCAGUUUGAGAAUUGCGGUGAUGGUGUUGCAGAGUUUGCCAAGAACAGUUCUCUGAGGAGGGGUUUUUUUGUCGAAAAAUUCUGUUGUUUCGCUCUUCCCAUGUGUGGUAGAACCUGCAUGGAUCCUGAAUAAACUUCCAAAUUGGGGAAAUGAAAGUGCAAUUGAAGAACAGAUGAGAGUGGGUUUCUGGUUGGUUGCUACACACAGCACAAAUGUACUUCAGUAUUGCUGCCUAGGAGGUUUUGUAAUGAUGUCAACAAACAAGGAUGAGACAUGGCAGGAAUGGAGUUCUGCAGAUUACGAACGCAAAAUCAAGGAAUUAUAGCUUUUUCCUUUUAACAUUUGAUCGACUAUCAUUCAAUGCCAAUUCAGAGGAUAGUAACUCUAGUUUUGGUAGUCGUCUGUCUCAGCUAUUGGUUUGGAUUUGUGUAUCGAUAGAAGGAAUUGUUCCAACUAUUGAUUUUGAUGUUCCUCUUGAAGAUGGAUCGUCUCCUCUGCAUCAUGCUGCUCAAUCAUUUUCCUACGAUUUAACUAUCUUCUUACUCGGAAAUGGAGUCCAAACUCAUGCACAGGUUCCAUGGCUUGCUUCCACUCAAUGUAGCUCUCGAAUCACUAAGCCAUUGGAGACGACUAUUAAGUGGAUUGUAAGGCAUAUGAAACCAAAGUAGGUCCAGGAUGUCAUUUUCCACUAUGCAGAGAAAGGGAAUCUCAUCGAGUUGGCUGCUUUGUUUGUGCAAAUACCAGUAAGAUGGUUUCCUGGUCUCUCUCUACAGAUUUUUCUACCUUCCUCUCUUUAUUUCAGUUUAUUUUUUAAAAAAAUUAUUUGUUAUUUUUUUAAAACUAUUUUUUGCUCUUCUUUAGUGUUUCGAGGAUGCAACAGACAUUGAAAGAAUGGGAACAAAUUCGUAACCUGAUUUUAUGGUUUAUAUAAAAGCAACUUUCGUGUCUAUGGUAAAUUUGAUUACCCUCGAUUUUUUCAAAUUCUUUAGAAGAAGUGAAUCACUGAUAAAUUAUUGAUUAUCUUUUUUUAAUUAAUCAGUGUCGUUCAUUAGGGGAAGUAAUAAUGUUUGUGUCUAUGAAAUUAUACGCGACGGUUUAAAUGCUAACGAAGGGAGAUUUUUCUUUUAGAUUUUCCCCACAUUACAAAGGAAAAUGAUUCACAUCCCCUUGAUUUUAUUGCACUAGUGCCAAAUAUAUAUCCACUCUACAUUACGACAAUGUGACUAUAUUUGACAUACUAAUCUAUAUUAUUAUUUCUCAGGUAAAAUAUUUGAAGCUAAUUAAGGUUACGAGAUAUAUUUUGUUUACAUGUGACCUAGUGGUAUAUUCUAUUCCACAAUAAACCGUAUCACACUUUACAUACUAAUUUUUAGUCAAAUUUUCCCAAAUCAUUCGAGACCAACCCAGGAUCCCUUUAUCUUCCUCUCCUCUUCUAGGGGUGGGCUUAUUACAGGAUUUAGAGCUUGUGCAGUAGAAAGAAUGUUCCCUCUGUUAGAGGUGGUAGAAAAAAGACCGAGAGAGAGAGAGUACCAAGUUACGAAGGUCUUUU